UACGUAGGGUGCAAGCGUUGUCCGGAAUUAUUGGGCGUAAAGAGCUUGUAGGCGGUUUGUCGCGUCUGCUGUGAAAUUUCGGGGCUCAACCCCGAACUUGCAGUGGGUACGGGCAGACUAGAGUGUGGUAGGGGAGACUGGAAUUCCUGGUGUAGCGGUGAAAUGCGCAGAUAUCGGGUGGAACACCAGUGGCGAAGGCGGUGCUCUGGGCCGGAACUGACGCUGAAUGGCGAAAGCGUGGGUAGCAAACAGG
rnacentral:rRNA from 1 species